rnacentral:miRNA from 1 species
UCAUAUUAUUUUAGGUUU